rnacentral:rRNA from 1 species
UACGGAGAGUGCAAGCAUUAAUCGGAAUUAUUGGGCGUAAAGGGCGCGUAGGCGGGACAGACAGUCAGAUGUGAAAUUCCGAAGCUCAACUUCGGAGCUGCAUUUGAAACUACUGACCUAGAGGGUUGACGGAGAAAACGGAAUUCCACGUGUAGCGGUGAAAUGCGUAGAUAUGUGGAAGAACACCAGUGGCGAAAGCGGUUUUCUAGUUUAUACCUGACGCUGAGGCGCGAGAGCAAGGGGAGCAAACAGG